rnacentral:rRNA from 1 species
UACGUAGGGCGCAAGCGUUGUCCGGAAUUAUUGGGCGUAAAGAGCUCGUAGGCGGUUUGUCGCGUCUGCUGUGAAAGCCCGGGGCUCAACCCCGGGUCUGCAGUGGGUACGGGCAGACUAGAGUGCAGUAGGGGAGACUGGAAUUCCUGGUGUAGCGGUGAAAUGCGCAGAUAUCAGGAGGAACACCGAUGGCGAAGGCAGGUCUCUGGGCUGUUACUGACGCUGAGGAGCGAAAGCGUGGGGAGCAAACAGG